AGAGUUUGAUCCUGGCUAGGAGGCGCUAGCGGCAGGCUUAAUACAUGCAAGUCGAAGGGUAGGGCGCUUCGGAGAUAGACGAGUGGCGCACGGGUGCGUAACGCGUAUGCAACCUACCUUUAACUGGGAAAUAGCCCCGAGAAAUCGGGAUUAAUGUCCCAUACUAUUCUGAGAAUGCAUAUUCUUAGAAUGAAAGCUCCGGCGGUUAUUGAUGGGCAUGCGUGACAUUAGCUAGUUGGUGAGGUAACGGCCCACCAAGGCUACGAUGUCUAGGGGUCCUGAGAGGGUUAACCCCCACACUGGUACUGAGACACGGACCAGACUCCUACGGGAGGCAGCAGUAAGGAAUAUUGGGCAANGGACGCAAGUCUGACCCAGCCAUGCCGCGUGAAGGAUGAAUGUCCUAUGGAUUGUAAACUUCUUUUAUGCAGGAAAAACAUCCCGGUCGUGAACCGGGACUGAUGGUACUGUAUGAAUAAGCAUCGGCUAACUCCGUGCCAGCAGCCGCGGUAAUACGGAGGAUGCAAGCGUUAUCCGGAUUCAUUGGGUUUAAAGGGUGCGCAGGCGGAAUAAUAAGUCAGUGGUGAAAUCUCCCGGCUCAACCGGGAAACUGCCAUUGAUACUGUUGUUCUUGAGUACNGUUGAAGUGGGCGGAAUGUGUCAUGUAGCGGUGAAAUGCUUAGAUAUGACACANAACACCGAUAGCGAAGGC
rnacentral:rRNA from 1 species